AGUGAACGCUGGCGGUAGGCCUAACACAUGCAAGUCGAACGGCAGCACAGUAAGAGCUUGCUCUUACGGGUGGCGAGUGGCGGACGGGUGAGGAAUACAUCGGAAUCUACUUUUUCGUGGGGGAUAACGUAGGGAAACUUACGCUAAUACCGCAUACGACCUACGGGUGAAAGCAGGGGAUCUUCGGACCUUGCGCGAUUGAAUGAGCCGAUGUCGGAUUAGCUAGUUGGCGGGGUAAAGGCCCACCAAGGCGGCGAUCCGUAGCUGGUCUGAGAGGAUGAUCAGCCGCACUGGAACGGAGACACGGUCCAGACUCCUACGGGAGGCAGCAGUGGGGAAUAUUGGACAAUGGGCGCAAGCCUGAUCCAGCCAUACCGCGUGGGUGAAGAAGGCCUUCGGGUUGUAAAGCCCUUUUGUUGGGAAAGAAAAGCAGCAGGUUAAUACCCCGCUGUUCUGACGGUACCCAAAGAAUAAGCACCGGCUAACUUCGCG
rnacentral:rRNA from 1 species